CUGUGAUGAGGAAGACAGGAGCAUACAAGAGGGACACUGUUCAUCUACUGUUGACGCUUCAGCCGAGGUGGCACUUCCUGCUACCGAGAGGAAUAUGUCACACAAGAGAGGCAAACCAUCAUCAGAAGUGCCGAUGUCUUCAGGAGCCAGUGCUAUGAGACCACCUUGCAAAGGUAAAAGUAGCCAGAAGAAAGCUCCCUGGCAGCAGGCAGAGGUGCAGGCGGUGGAAAGGCACCUGAAGUCAUUCAUCAUAUCUGGCACUGUACCAGCAAAGAGUGACUGUGAGAAAUGCUUGAAAGCUGAACCACAAGCUCUGAGGAACCGCGAUUGGAAGACAGUAAAAUUUUAUGUUUAUAAUCGCAUUACAGCUUACAAAAAGAAAUCGCAGUGCAGAUAAUACUGUAAAGAUGCAACUAUCUGGCAUGGCAAGUUUUGUUCAAGUUAAAGCCACAGCAGCACUUAAAGAAAUAGAAUAACUUAAACCGUUAAACCAGUGCAAGGCCACACGCUGAAAGCAUUGGUCUAACAAAAGUUGAAAUCCAUGUUUGUGAAAGGAAGCAUGUGAGAAAGUUUAUAUAUAUAUAUAUUUUUUUACAUUUAGUAUAACAGGA